rnacentral:rRNA from 1 species
GACGAACGCUGGCGGCGUGCCUAACACAUGCAAGUCGAGCGGGGAUGUAUGGAGGAAGUUUUCGGAUGGAAUCGAUACAUUCUAGCGGCGGACGGGUGAGUAACGCGUGAGCAACCUGCCUUUCACAGGGGGAUAACGGAUCGAAAGAUUCACUAAUACCGCAUGAGACCACGAUACCGAGUGGUAUAGGGGUCAAAGGAGCAAUCCGGUGAAAGAUGGGCUCGCGUCCGAUUAGGUAGUUGGUGGGGUAACGGCUCACCAAGCCAAUGAUCGGUAGCCGACCUGAGAGGGUGAUCGGCCACACUGGAACUGAGGGACGGUCCAGACUCCUACGGGAGGCAGCAGUGGGGAAUAUUGGGCAAUGGGGGAAACCCUGACCCAGCAACGCCGCGUGAGGGAAGAAGGUUUUCGGAUUGUAAACCUCUGUCCUUGGUGAAGAGCAGAAGACGGUAGCCAAGGAGGAAGCCCCGGUUAACUUCGUGCCAGCCGCCGCGGUAA